UAAGACGAACCGUGCAAACGUUGUUCGGAAUCACUGGGCUUAAAGGGCGCGUAGGCGGACCGCAAAGUCAGGGGUGAAAUCCUCCAGCUUAACUGGAGAACUGCCUCUGAUACUGGCGGUCUCGAGUAAGGUAGGGGCAUGCGGAACUGAUGGUGGAGCGGUGAAAUGUGUUGAUAUCAUCAGGAACUCCGGUGGCGAAAGCGGCAUGCUGGACCUUUACUGACGCUGAGUGCGCGAAAGCCAGGGGAGCAAACGGGAUUAGAUACCCCGGUAGUCCUGGCCCUAAACGAUGGGUACUAGGUAGUAGGCUUGACAUGGGUUUACUGCCGGAGCAAAAGUGCUAAGUACCCCGCCUGGGGAGUAUGGUCGCAAGGCUG
rnacentral:rRNA from 1 species